rnacentral:rRNA from 1 species
AUGAACGCUAGCUACAGGCUUAACACAUGCAAGUCGAGGGGCAGCAUUUUAGUUUGCUUGCAAACUGAAGAUGGCGACCGGCGCACGGGUGAGUAACACGUAUCCAACCUGCCGAUAACUCCGGAAUAGCCUUUCGAAAGAAAGAUUAAUACCGGAUAGCAUACGAAUAUCGCAUGAUAUUUUUAUUAAAGAAUUUCGGUUAUCGAUGGGGAUGCGUUCCAUUAGUUUGUUGGCGGGGUAACGGCCCACCAAGACUACGAUGGAUAGGGGUUCUGAGAGGAAGGUCCCCCACAUUGGAACUGAGACACGGUCCAAACUCCUACGGGAGGCAGCAGUGAGGAAUAUUGGUCAAUGGGCGAGAGCCUGAACCAGCCAAGUAGCGUGAAGGAUGAAGGCUCUAUGGGUCGUAAACUUCUUUUAUAUGGGAAUAAAGUUUUCCACGUGUGGAAUUUUGUAUGUACCAUAUGAAUAAGGAUCGGCUAACUCCGUGCCAGCAGCCGCGGUAAUACGGAGGAUCCGAGCGUUAUCCGGAUUUAUUGGGUUUAAAGGGAGCGUAGGUGGAUUGUUAAGUCAGUUGUGAAAGUUUGCGGCUCAACCGUAAAAUUGCAGUUGAAACUGGCAGUCUUGAGUACAGUAGAGGUGGGCGGAAUUCGUGGUGUAGCGGUGAAAUGCUUAGAUAUCACGAAGAACUCCGAUUGCGAAGGCAGCUCACUAGACUGUCACUGACACUGAUGCUCGAAAGUGUGGGUAUCAAACAGGAUUAGAUACCCUGGUAGUCCACACAGUAAACGAUGAAUACUCGCUGUUUGCGAUAUACAGUAAGCGGCCAAGCGAAAGCAUUAAGUAUUCCACCUGGGGAGUACGCCGGCAACGGUGAAACUCAAAGGAAUUGACGGGGGCCCGCACAAGCGGAGGAACAUGUGGUUUAAUUCGAUGAUACGCGAGGAACCUUACCCGGGCUUAAAUUGCAACAGAAUAUAUUGGAAACAGUAUAGCCGUAAGGCUGUUGUGAAGGUGCUGCAUGGUUGUCGUCAGCUCGUGCCGUGAGGUGUCGGCUUAAGUGCCAUAACGAGCGCAACCCUUAUCUUUAGUUACUAACAGGUCAUGCUGAGGACUCUAGAGAGACUGCCGUCGUAAGAUGUGGGGAAGGUGGGGAUGACGUCAAAUCAGCACGGCCCUUACGUCCGGGGCUACACACGUGUUACAAUGGGGGGUACAGAAGGCGGCUACCUGGUGACAGGAUGCUAAUCCCAAAAACCUCUCUCAGUUCGGAUCGAAGUCUGCAACCCGACUUCGUGAAGCUGGAUUCGCUAGUAAUCGCGCAUCAGCCAUGGCGCGGUGAAUACGUUCCCGGGCCUUGUACACACCGCCCGUCAAGCCAUGAAAGCCGGGGGUACCUGAAGUACGUAACCGCAAGGAGCGUCCUAGGGUAAAACUGGUAAUUGGGGCU